UAGACCAAUGCCUGGUCGUAUAAUCCGCUAGGGUUAUGGCGAGUGUGUAUAUGGUGAUUUUAUAAUUACGCAAGAUGGCGUUGAUAACCGGUUUGUCAGUGGCGAUAAUGGGUAAGACUGUACACCGAACUUCCCUCUUUCAUAUAUCGACGAACCAAGGCUCGAUCGAAGACGAAAAACCUUUCGUGAACAAUUUACCAGUUUUUGGUCGAAGGUACGGACCAACUACCGUGCCUAAAAAUUUAGAACUUCUGUGGAAUCCCUGUGUAGUAUGGGUUUGGGUUAAUCGAACACGAACCGUUAUAACUGCAACGAUCAUCUACCGCUUGGGUGCCCCUACUCCGCUGAAAAACAUACGACCCCGAACCGUUGAUGUGAAGAAAAAACGAAAUGGCGUCUUGGAAUUAUAUAUAUUUUGACCACGAUACCGAAUCGCAUUGGUGCGCUAUAUGCGACUGCUAUAUGAGCAGCGAAAUAUCCUCUAAUGAACAUGUCGACGGAGCUCGACACGGCCGAGCUGUCAAACGUUACGGCACGUCAAUCAUUUCCCAUGGGAGCAGUAAAUAUUACUGCGAAUCAUGCGACUGUUGGAUACAGUCAACAACGAAUAUUCUUCAACACGUCAAAGGUCAACGUCAUCAAGAUGCCUUGGAAGCCACUGACUCCGAGGACGAAGAAGAUCUCGAUCCUUACGAAUUCAUCAUCGAUGAGGGCAACGAAAAUAAAUAUUGUUAUCUUUGCAACGUGAACAUCUCCGGCGAAGCAAUGUUUCAUUUUCAUGCUCGAAAUCAACAACACAAAGAAGCCAUUGAAAGAUAUGGCUAUGACAUAAUCGAAUCGAAGUACAGCUGGUACGAAUGCGAGUUGUGUGAAUGUAAAAUCAGCGGAUAUCAAAAUAUAUAUCAACACAUUACGGGUCGUACGCACACCGAAAAUCUCGAGGACUACUCUGACUCUGACUGAUUUGUUUCUACGAAAUCAAUGACAUUUUCACUUCUUUUAAACAUACAUUUAUGAUAAAAUUAUUUUAUCUUUCGCGUGUAGAACUUGGUUUGUUCCAUGGCGAAAACAAAACAAAAACAAUUGCACAGUUUUAUCAUUAUUCGAUAUAGGUUUUAGAUUUUUAAUUUUCAUCCUGAGGAUUUAUUUGAUCGCACGUCUUUUUAGUGUACGUUAUUUGUGAGGUUAAGAUUCCCUCGAUAAUAAGAAUUUAAAACAAGGAUGCAAAAAAGGCAAUUGUACGGAUUCUCAUAAGCUGUGUGCAACCUGUGGCGUUAUUUUCAUUACUGACCUUUACAAAUACAAACUUUGUUCUCCUUUUUACGAGGAAUCGAAACUUAUUAAAAUAUUAUGGAAUGUUUUCAUUCAGAGACGUUGCUGGAGUAGCUUGAUAAGUGCCAUAUGUUUGAAUAGUUUAAUUCUAUACCUACUUUUUGUUUCAAGAUAAAGUAAAUAGUGUCUCUAUUGAUUUCUAUGAAUAUUCACAAAAUUCAUUUCCAUGCGAGAUGUAUUAUUUGUUCCCCCGCAUAACGUUUAUUUGGUGAACGAGCUUGUGAAAUCCGAUUGGAAAUAAUUCUGUGAAUGAUGAACAUUCAACUCAAAUAAACUGAAUUUUGUGGUUUUGAGUUUUCUGUAAAUUCCAAAAAAAUUAACAAGCGCAGUCACACUGUUCAAAAAUCCUUGUAACUAGAGAACCCAAGUAUUAAAUACCAAAAGAAGAGUAAAUAAAACUCGAAACUGAUAUACAUAUUUUUAAUAAGAGUUAAGAAAAUAACUAUUAAAAAUGAAAUAAUAGUUUUUCUACGUACAGUGUUGUAACAAAUAUUACAAAUAUCAAGAGAAAAGAGUGAUAUAUUUUUAUUUCCAAUCUUAUAAUAGUUUGGCUGCUUAUGGAUGCUAUGACAUGAAUGAAGAUAAAAUAAAUUAUUGGUAUUAUUACGUUCUUCGCCGAUUUUUUAUCUGAUAGCACACACCACGAGAUGGCGAUCCCUGCCGAUUGUACAGUGGUACAGUCAAUAAAAUCUAGAUUACGGGUAUCUCUAAUCAUUUCCGGAACCCCGGAACCUUCUUUGAUGGAGACGUCAUUGAAACUCCGAUCUCUCCGAUUGGUUAACAUCAGGGGGGGGGGGGGGCGUAACCACCAAUCAGUUUAUCAUAAGACUGUACCGAAUUUCGCUCUUUUGUUUUCCGGGACAAGAAUCGGAAGGUUUAUUCAGAGCCUAUUUAUUUUUUAUCUGGUUAAACUUGGAGGGUGCGUGAGAAAUAAAAAUUUAGAGAUCAAGCACAGACCCACCGAUAUAAAAAUUAUUAUCGGCACAGACAACGAGAGAACAAAAUGGCAACUUGGGAUUACAUCAUUUUGGGAAACGGGAGAAGACCUUACCAAUGUACAAUAUGCGACUGUUUCAUGACAAGCACAAUUUGUUCAAACAAUCAUUUAGUAGGUCGCAGACAUUCAACAGCCCUCCGUCGCUAUGGCUCAUUUAUAAUUGACCUGGAGACUGGAAAGUAUUGGUGUAAAUUGUGCAAAUGCUGGAUUUAUUCAACAAAAAAUAUUCUCCAACAUCUUGAUGGUCAACGUCAUCAAGAUGCCCUCAUUGAUGUUGAAUCUGACGAUGAAGAGCUGGACCCCUAUAGUUAUAUCAUCGACCAGGGAGAUUAUAGAAAUUAUUGUUAUAUCUGCGACCAUUAUCUGAAUGAUGCGCAAGUUGAUUAUCAUGCUAACAGCAAAGAACACGAAACUCAAGUGUUCAUAUAUGGCUAUGAUAUAAUGCAUACCAGUUAUAAUUCUUUGGUUUGUACUUUGUGUAAGUGCGUAAUCAGCGGUUACAAAAAUAUUCAUCAACACAUCAACGGACAGAGACAUGAUAGUGCUCUCGAAAGAUUCUUUGCAUCUUACAAUAUUUAGCAUGCAUGAUAAAUUUAAAGAACAAAGUCGUAUGUGAUACCUUAAAAUCAAUAAUCUUUUUGAGAUGUUCCAGCCAUGAGGAAAUUAUAUUUCGUAAAUCUUCAAGUUUAAUUGUAGUUUCUUAUUUUAUGAGUGUCAAUUUCGAUCGAGAAUUAAGAUUUUGUAUCAAGUGCUAGGAAAAGUAAAAAUUUUAUUCAAAAUAUAAUAAUGAAAAAGUACUAUUUUCGCGUUCCUAAUAAAAGCUUUUCCAUCUACGAUCAAUUUCUUAUAUUGGCUAGCAUGUUCAGUUGUAAUGUCCCGAUUUUGUGAAGGUGGCGCUGAUUACCACCGUUUUGUUGGCUGUGGUGUUAUUCCGAUUUUGUGUGCGCAGCGUUCACGUGAGAAAGCUGCACAAUUCGAAUUUUCCGAUUCAACCGGUGCAAGUAUAUAUUGAACCCGAAAAGCAUCGAAUAUUACACUCGAGGUUUUUUUUAUUGAGGAAAAGAAAUUUCGUUGAUUGUUAAUACACUCACUAUUCUACGAUUUUGAGCUCAAAUUUACUGCACUUCAGUACGAAAUUUGAACGCUUCAUUGAACGUAGCUGAGUUCAUAGAUAAGAAAGGACUUUAAUCAACUAUUCUGUAUCACGUGGAUCAUCGAUCGUUCUCUGGGUGGAAUAAGCCUCGCUUGACCUUCUGUAGUUAAACUAAGCACAAAAAUGUCUGGUUAUUGGGACUAUGGGUACCGUGACCAUAUUACUUUGUAUUAUAGUUGUGCACUUUGCGA